GUGGGGAAUAUUGGACAAUGGGGGGAACCCUGAUCCAGCCAUGCCGCGUGUGUGAAGAAGGCCUUUUGGUUGUAAAGCACUUUAAGCGAGGAGGAGGCUACCGAGAUUAAUACUCUUGGAUAGUGGACGUUACUCGCAGAAUAAGCACCGGCUAACUCUGUGCCAGCAGCCGCGGUAAUACAGAGGGUGCAAGCGUUAAUCGGAUUACUGGGCGUAAAGCGCGCGUAGGUGGCCAAUUAAGUCAAAUGUGAAAUCCCCGAGCUUAACUUGGGAAUUGCAUUCGAUACUGGUUGGCUAGAGUAUGGGAGAGGAUGGUAGAAUUCCAGGUGUAGCGGUGAAAUGCGUAGAGAUCUGGAGGAAUACCGAUGGCGAAGGCAGCCAUCUGGCCUAAUACUGACACUGAGGUGCGAAAGCAUGGGGAGCAAACAGGAUUAGAUACCCUGGUAGUCC
rnacentral:rRNA from 1 species